AUGGAGCGCGAUAUGGUGGAGGCGCUCGGGUACCAGCUCGGCGGCCCCACGGCGCACACCUUCCUGGGCCACUUCAUGAGGUACGCCGAGGGGAAGGACAAGACCAAGAUCCUGCCAUUGGCGACUCGCCUCGUUGAUCAGUCUCUGCUCAACUAUACGUGCCUCCGCUUCUUGCCGUCCGUCGUGGCGGCGUCCGCGAUAUUCCUCGCGAGGCGGACCCUGAAUACGCCCGACGUCCUGGCGUGGAACACGGAGCUGACGGAGCUGACGGGUUACAACUGCUCGGACAUGACAGCCUGCGUGCUUAAUAUGUUCUUCUUCUCGCGCUCGCUCAUCUGUAGCCCUCCUUCUUGA
rnacentral:rRNA from 1 species